rnacentral:ncRNA from 3 species
CAGUGCAAUGUUAAAAGGGCAUU